rnacentral:rRNA from 1 species
GAAUAUUGGACAAUGGGCGAAAGCCUGAUCCAGCCAUGCCGCGUGUGUGAAGAAGGUCUUCGGAUUGUACAGCACUUUAAGUUGGGAGGAAGGGCAGUAAGCGAAUACCUUGCUGUUUUGACGUUACCGACAGAAUAAGCACCGGCUAACUCUGUGCCAGCAGCCGCGGUAAUACCGAGGGUGCAAGCGUUAAGCGGAAUUACUGGGCGUAAAGCGAGGGAAGGGGGUUCGUUAAGUUGGAUGUGAAAUACCCGGGGUCAACCUGGGAACUGCAUCAAAAACUGGCGAGCUAGAGUAGGGCAGAGGGUGGUGGAAUUUCCUGUGUAGCGGUGAAAUGAGUAGAUAUAGGAAGGAACACCAGUGGCGAAGGCGACCACCUGGGCUCAUACUGACACUGAGGUGCGAAAGCGUGGGGAGCAAACAG